rnacentral:lncRNA from 1 species
CUUGGCUUUCCACUCUGGAGGACAGGUUCGAAUCUCGGGUCCCACUCCUUCAAAAUAUUUAUCGGGAUUCGGCCGGCGUCGAUCCCCGUCUCCACAAUCCGGCUGAUUCCUCCGCAGGGGUGAACAGGCUGUGGAAGGGCUCGUUUCGCCCCGCCACUUUCCAUUCAGAAAGUGAAUGGAAAGUGGCGUCAUCUGUUGACAAAAAAAAAAAAAAAUACAGUGUGUGUUCGAGCAAAUUUGAGACGAUUUUACGUAUAGUUUUUGUCCUUAAGAACGCAACGAUGAAUUCCGUUUGUGUAUUUGAUACGAUGGCCAUCCUAUGCGCUAACCAUUCUACAUUUUUGCUUCCAUGCUUCAAAAACCGAUCGACAUUUUUCAGGGAUAAUUUUUGCAAACUUUCCAGAGUCCUGACAAAAUAUGGGUUUUUGUCAAGAAAAGGGUUAGCUUUAAAUAACCAAAGCCGAAGUAAUCGAUUGGCGAGAUGUCUGAGGACUUGGCGGGGAUCAGUUCAUUCCGGAUAUUAUUUAGACCUGUGGUUUUCAUUGUUCCAAAUAAAAGCUGGGUAAAAUUCGCGGUUUGACUCGAAGUCUUGUCAUGGUAGAAUGUUUUUAUCCAGUUAUCCCGGAUAAAGCAAUGGAAUAUCUGUUUCCACAUAUCGUCUGAGCAUUUUCUCCCCAUUGUACCUUGCAUCUACUUUAAUCAAAGGGCCAAAGAAUGUUAAAGGGAGGCAUUCCUCUAACAAUCAUGAAUACUUCAGGUCAUCUUUCAUUGCAGUGUGUUAGCCAUUCUUCGGGUAACUCGUCUCUUAAUCACGCGUACAUAAUUUUUCGUUCUCUAAUACAGUAACUUAAAUAGAUAUAUGCUUCGUCUAAAAUCGCCAUAAACUCCGCC